GGAGGAACCUGUCCUGUAAUCGAUAAUCCCCGUAAAUUUAACCUGAGUUUGUAAUAUCAACUUGUAUAUCGCUGUCGUAAGAUUAUUUUUUGAGAAAUUUUUCAAUAAUAAAUUUUUAUUUAUGUCAAGUCAAGGUGCAGUAAAUAUUCAGGGAUGAGAUGGGUUACAAUAUAGGAAUAUAUACGGAGAUAUUUUUGUAAUGAGUAUUGAAGGUGGAUUUAAUUGUAAUAU
rnacentral:rRNA from 1 species